ACAUCCAGCGAAUUCGGUAGAGAUACCUUAGUGCCUUCGGGAACGCUGAGACAGGUGCUGCAUGGCUGUCGUCAGCUCGUGUUGUGAAAUGUUGGGUUAAGUCCCGCAACGAGCGCAACCCUUAUCCUUUGUUGCUAGCGGUCCGGCCGGGAACUCAAAGGAGACUGCCAGUGAUAAACUGGAGGAAGGUGGGGAUGACGUCAAGUCAUCAUGGCCCUUACGAGUAGGGCUACACACGUGCUACAAUGGCGCAUACAAAGAGAAGCGACCUCGCGAGAGCAAGCGGACCUCAUAAAGUGCGUCGUAGUCCGGAUUGGAGUCUGCAACUCGACUCCAUGAAGUCGGAAUCGCUAGUAAUCGUAGAUCAGAAUGCUACGGUGAAUACGUUCCCGGGCCUUGUACACACCGCCCGUCACACCAUGGGAGUGGGUUGCAAAAGAAGUAGGUAGCUUAACCUUCGGGAGGGCGCUUACCACUUUGUGAUUCAUGACUGGGGUGAAGUCGUAACAAGGUAGGCGUAGCGAG
rnacentral:rRNA from 1 species